UACGAAGGGGGCUAGCGUUGCUCGGAAUCACUGGGCGUAAAGGGUGCGUAGGCGGGUCUUUUAAGUCAGGGGUGAAAUCCUGGAGCUCAACUCCAGAACUGCCUUUGAUACUGAAGAUCUUGAGUUCGGGGAGAGGUGAGUGGAACUGCGAGUGUAGAGGUGAAAAUUCGUAGAUAUUCGCAAGAACACCAGUGGCGAAGGCGGCUCACUGGCCCGAUACUGACGCUGAGGCACGAAAAGCGU
rnacentral:rRNA from 1 species